rnacentral:rRNA from 1 species
UACGUAGGGGGCUAGCGUUGUCCGGAUUUAUUGGGCGUAAAGAGCGUGUAGGCGGCCAGGUAGGUCUGCUGUGAAAACUCGAGGCUCAACCUCGAGACGUCGGCGGAAACCAUCUGGCUAGAGUCCGGAAGAGGAGAGUGGAAUUCCUGGUGUAGCGGUGAAAUGCGCAGAUAUCAGGAAGAACACCCGUGGCGAAGGCGGCUCUCUGGGCCGUAACUGACGCUGAGGCGCGACAGCGUGGGGAGCAAACAGG